rnacentral:lncRNA from 1 species
GGGGCGACGGCCAGAAGUCCAGGGCUAGGAGCCUCAGCCGGCGGACGCCAGGAAACAGAUCUGAGAGCUGAGAAGUCCAAGAUGAAGUCUCUGGCAGAUUUGAUGUCUGUUACUGAUGCUACAAUAUUCCUUUAUGAAGCCAAGAACUGAACCAAAAUACAAACAACAUAAACUACCACUUGAUGAGAAGAACUUCAAAGUCAAAUUGCAAAAGGUGACUAAAAAAGGGGAGUACUUUCAGCCGUUUUCAAAAUAAUCUAUGAUAUGUACUGGAAAACUUCUAAUAAUCCUUGUCAUUUUACAACUUUCCCACAGUUAGAUCAUCAGCAAAUGUCACUUGGAUCCCUAGCUAAAUUGUUCUUCCCAGAAAAUAGUUAUCUCCACUAUGGAAAGUAUUUUAUCAGAAGAAUUCGUAGAAGUAGAAUCUGUUUGUCUUCAGUUAAACAAAAGAAGAACCUCAUUGCUUUCCAACUGGGCCCCGGCCAUUUUCCAGUUGAAACAUCAAAUAUUUUAUUUGUGUCUUUCACUGCCAAUUAAAGGGCAACAGAAAUGGUACAGGCUCCCUCUGCAGUGGAAUUACCCUUAUGUCUUUUCUGUCUAUGCUGAUCCACCUGAUCUUGAACUGGUGCUAUUCCAUGGGGAAAAUUGGAACAUGGGGCAAUUAACACUUUCUCCACUUUAUCCCAUCAACAGGAAAUUGAAAUAUAACCAACUAACUCAGGAGACAUCAUGGAAGAUGUCACACAGUGAAUGAUGAUGAAGCAGAAUUUUUAAAAUGUGUAGGAUUACGAGAAGUGGGGUCAUUUUUCUUUGUGUAUGGUAUUGCUGAUGCAGUUUAAUGCUCCAUUACUUCUAAAUUUUCAUCAUAAGCUAGAUUUUCCAGUUGUGGUUUCUAUAAAGAAAAACAAACAUUCUGAAGACAGUUUUUCCAGAUUUAUUCCAGAUAUCGAUGAUUAACUUUUGAAGCUCCUCUGUUGAUUUGAACAUCCGCUGAAGCUUAUUUUUCACCUCAGAAUAGCAUCAACAUUAUUUGAAAUUCAAUUGUACUUUCUCGUUACAUUAAUAAAUCAUGGAAGUUGAGAAAA